ACUCGACGCUCUUCCGAUCAACAACAACAUUUUGUUUUCUUUCUUUCUGCUUACGGACUUAAGGUUAUAACAACCGCAGACAUUCCUUCUGCUGUGCUGGUGCCUGAUAGGAGACCCUCACAAUCAUUGCCCAUAUUUUCGAAUUUAGAAAAAAAAAAAAUCUUUCAUAGUCUUAAAGACUAUAUCGUUUUUCCUUAAUCAUAAUUUGUUACAAUGGCGGUAAGGCGAAGCAUUGACAAUAUAAAUGUUAAUCUCGGCGAGGUAGUCGUACACUGCACUAUAUGCAAUGAUACCAGCCAGGACACCGACAUUGUAGAAACCCAUUGCAAACACAAAUACCACCGGUCGUGUUUAUCGGAUUGGUUGACAUCCAAUGAGACAUGCCCGAUUUGUUCGUUACCGUUGCGUUCACAAUCUCAAUUGAACUGUAAAGAGCUGGGGAAAUUUAACAUUAAGGAUAUUUGGUAGCUAGAGACAAAAGUCUGCACCCUUCCUUGUUGUUGUUUUCAGUUUUAUCUUGGGGUAUUGACCCAAGAGAU